rnacentral:rRNA from 1 species
CACGCUGGCGGCGUGCCUCAGACAUGCAAGUCGAACGCGAAAGUCCCCUUCGGGGGGCAAGUAGAGUGGCGCACGGGUGAGUAACACGUAGGUAAUCUACCUUUGGAUUGGGAAUAACCACCGGAAACGGUGGUUAAUACCGAAUAAUGCAGCGGCACCUAAUGGUGACAGUUGUUAAGGCGGGGGAUCGCAAGACCUCGCGUCUAAAGAGGAGCCUGCGGCGGAUUAGCUAGUUGGUAAGGUAACGGCUUACCAAGGCGAUGAUCCGUAGCCGGCCUGAGAGGGCGGUCGGCCACACUGACACUGACAUACGGGUCAGACUCCUACGGGAGGCAGCAGUCGGGAAUUUUGGGCAAUGGCGAAAGCCUGACCCAGCAACGCCGCGUGAAGGAUGAAAUCCCUCGGGAUGUAAACUUCGCAAGAACGGGAAGAAUAAGCCGGUGUUAAUACCUCCGGCGAUGACGGUACUGUUUGUAAGCUCCGGCUAACUCCGUGCCAGCAGCCGCGGUAAUACGGGGGGAGCAAGCGUUGUUCGGAUUUACUGGGCGUAAAGGGCGCGUAGGCGGCCACCGCAAGUCGACUGUGAAAUCUCCGGGCUUAACCCGGAAAGGUCAGCCGAUACUGCGGGGCUA